rnacentral:rRNA from 1 species
UACGUAGGGCGCAAGCGUUGUCCGGAAUUAUUGGGCGUAAAGAGCUUGUAGGCGGUUUGUCGCGUCUGCUGUGAAAAUCCGGGGCUCAACCCCGGACUUGCAGUGGGUACGGGCAGACUAGAGUUCGGUAGGGGAGACUGGAAUUCCCGGUGUAGCGGUGAAAUGCGCAGAUAUCGGGAGGAACGACCGGUGGCGAAGGCGGGUCUCUGGGCCGAAACUGACGCUGAGGAGCGAAAGCGUGGGGAGCAAACAGG